AGUCCUUCGCCGUCCCUCGCCGUCCUUCGCCAUCGCACGCCACCGCACCCCAUCUCUCGAAAUCUGCAGACAUCUUGAUUUUUCCCACGCUGUCUGUCAGGUCUCCGCCGCCACUCGACGCCAGGGCGCCGGGUGAGUCCACAGCAGGGCGCAUGGUCGGCUCCACUCUCACCAUCGGGGGAAACUGAGGCCCCGGGGAAGGCGGCCAGAGAGGUCAGGCCCUGUCCUUGGUGCAGUGUCUCGUCCUCUUUGCCGGAGUGAGCCCCCCAGGAUUCGCGUGUCCUCGGGAAAGACACUGGCAGGCCUUGUGGGCUGUGCUGCACCUCGGACGGCUUCGCACCAGCCAGCGCCCUCUCUCUCCUGCAGCACUCUGAUCUGCACCCCCUGAGGGGCUUCCACUGUCCGCGGGGUGAGAAUGCCCCUGGGAGUGUCACAUGACUGCCGCCCCAUGUGUGUGAGAGGCGUCCUCUGGGAGAGCAUGGAUCCUGAGGUCCCAGGAUUGUCAGCUGACCUCUGUCCUGUGUGCCCAGUGGCCCCAGGUGACGUGUCUUCAAGAAGAGGCUGAGCUGCGGUGCUUGUAAGGCAGGGUCUCAUUCUGUCACCCAGGCUGGAGUGCAGUGGUGCAAUGAUGGCUCACUGCAGCCUCGACCUGGGCUCAAGUGAUCCUCCACCUCAGCUUCCUGAGUAGCUGGGACCACAGAGUCAUGUGCUGUUCCUGGGGCUUGGAUGAUGUAGGGGAAGCAAGGUGAAAGUGGUAUCCCGUGGUUCCACGUUCUGUCCUGCUGUGGGGCUGUCCCUCACAUGCUUUCAGUGGCUGUUGCAGAGGAAGAGCCUCCGGAAAUCUGCGUCUCAGCCUUAGAUCCAAGGACAGUCCAAGGAAGUCCUAAGACCAUGGAGUUGGUGAUCUGGGAUCUGGGUUUGCUGAUAUUUCUCACCGUGAAUCUCUUGGUGGUGUUUGUGGGCACGAGAGGGGCAGAGAAUGGAGAGUGAGGCUACCACAUGAAGCGUCACCAGAGCUGCUCCCUGCUGCCUGCUCAGAGCACCCCGGAUCCACUGUUCAAUCUGCACAAGAUUCGGGGUCCAGACAUGGGAGACUUCAGCUGCCUCAGAGGACCGUGGACAGGGAAGGCCAGCCUCGCAUCCCUCUGUCCAUGCCUGGAAUGACUUUAAUAACCAAGAGUUUUAUUUUUGAAUUUGUAGCUGUCGUUCACUUUUUACCCACCCAUUCAAUAAACCUUACAGAAUUGCUCCA
rnacentral:lncRNA from 1 species